GCAGAACGCGAAGAACCUUACCAAGGCUCGACAUGCAUCUCUAAGCGCGUGAAAGCGCGUGACUCUUCGGAGGAUUUGCACAGGUGCUGCAUGGCCGUCGUCAGCUCGUGUCGUGAGAUGUUGGGUUAAGUCCCGCAACGAGCGCAACCCCUGUGAUUAGUUGCCAGCGCGUAAAGGUGGGGACUCUAAUCAGACUGCCCAGAUCAACUGGGAGGAAGGUGGGGACGACGUCAGGUCAGUAUGGCCCUUACGCCUUGGGCUGCACACGUACUACAAUGUCCAGCACAAUGAGAACCGAGACCGCGAGGUGGAGGAAAUCUGCAAAACUGGGCCCAGUUCGGAUUGGAGGCUGCAACUCGCCUCCAUGAAGCCGGAAUCGCUAGUAAUGCUGCAUCAGCUACGGCAGCGUGAAUACGUUCCCGGGUCUUGUACACACCG
rnacentral:rRNA from 1 species